rnacentral:rRNA from 1 species
AUUGAACGCUGGCGGCAGGCUUAACACAUGCAAGUCGAACGAGUGGCGGACGGGUGAGGAAUGCUUGGGAAUCUAGCUUAUGGAGGGGGAUAACUACGGGAAACUGUAGCUAAUACCGCGUACCAUAGGAUGAGCCCAAGUGGGAUUAGGUAGUUGGUGAGGUAAAGGCUCACCAAGCCGACGAUCUCUAGCUGGUCUGCAAGGAUGACCGGCAACAAUGUGACUGAGACACGGUCCAGACGCUGACGGGAGGCAGCAGUGGGGAAUAUUGCACAAUGGGCGCAAGCCUGAUGCAGCCAUGCCGCGUGUAUGAAGAAGGCCUUCGGGUUGUAAAGUACGUUCAGCGAGGAGGCGUUACUCGCAGAAGAAGCACCGGCUAACUCCGUGCCAGCAGCCGCGGUAAUUC